GUGCGGUUAAAAGUUACAAUGCUGAAAAGGGGAGGGCUAACAAAAUGCCUAAAUUAAGACUACUCCCGGGCGUACCUAAACAACCGGGUGGAAUUGAGUGUGGCUACUAUGUUAUGCGGUACAUGAAGGAUAUUAUUAAUGAUGACACACUUUCCUUUUCGACCAAGUGGGCGGUAAAGACUCGGAAAGGAUAUACCCAACAACAACUUGACGAGGUGCGCAUGGAGGUGGCCGACUACUUGCAGACCUUGUUGUAGAUU